rnacentral:tRNA from 1 species
UCGGGCUCAUAACCCGGAGGUCACAGGUUCGAAUCCUGUCCCCGCUACCA